ensembl:lncRNA
UAGCAAAGUAACUGCCUGCUCAAGGGGACAACAGAGUUCAUUUAUAUAUUAAGCUUAACUAGGUUCUAAGUUUUUAGACCUAGAGUAUCAGUUACCAGCCCAGACCUAUAACCACUCAUGUGCACCAUCCCAAAAUGUAUAGCUUCGCCACCCGUUCCAUCUUUUCAUCUGAGCACUCAUACCGGCGGGUUCAUGGUGCGUCUGGCCGCUCUCACUCUCUUCUGGGCCGCAGCGGCUCUGGCGCGGCGGAUCCUCCUCGAACACGAGCUUGAACUCGAACUCUCCCUCCUCCCAGCCCGAGCCCGGCGCGGCCCCCAUCGCUCACUCCGAGAAAAGUACAACCAAGACCGGCUACAGAUAUAUCACCGACUCUCUCACUUCUCAAUAUCGGACAAGACACUGAUGCUGAAGGCUGAUCCAUCCGUGACGCCAUAACGAUAGGUAUGCCCCUCUCUCUCUUCCCAUCAUACUUUCCCCCUUCUUUGUCCCUCCCCUUCCUUCUCCCCAACUCUUUAUCCCAG